rnacentral:snRNA from 1 species
UAUGUUUCUUAAUCACAGUGUAU